CCUGUGAAAAAGAGGAAGCAAAGCCAGAUCGCUGUUGUACUUGAGGAUUACAUGGAUUUUCGGAAGAAAAAAUCUGCAAAACUGGUUGACGAGUUGAAGGAAUCAAAGCCAGAUGACAUGUUCUCAAUUGGAAACUGUGUGGCUGCGCUAGAACCAAUGGAAGAUCUAUCAGUUGCAGAAAAAGCAAAGGCACUGCGGCUUUUCAAAUGCCCAAUGAAUCGAGAAAUAUUCAUCAAUACCAAGGAUCCAAAUCUUCGGCUUUAUUGGUUGAAGGAGGAGAUUUCUGAGAUGUAG
rnacentral:rRNA from 1 species